rnacentral:rRNA from 1 species
AUUCCGGUUGAUCCUGCCGGAGGACAUUGCUAUUGGGAUUCGAUUUAGCCAUGCUAGUCGAGCGAGUUUAGACUCGCGGCGAAUAGCUCAGUAACACGUGGCCAAGCUCCCCUUCAGUCAGCGAUACCCUCGGGAAACUGAGGUUAACAGCUGAUACAAAACGCCAGCUGGAAUGCGGCGUUUCAGAAAGACAUCGCUGAAGGAUGCGGCUGCGGCCGAUUAGGUAGACGGUGGGGUAACGGCCCACCGUGCCAGUAAUCGGUACGGGUGAUGAGAGUCAGAGCCCGGAGACGGAAUCUGAGACAAGAUUCCGGGCCCUACGGGGCGCAGCAGGCGCGAAACCUUUACACUGCACGGAAGUGCGAUAGGGGAAUCCCAAGUGCGAGGGCAUAUUAGCCCUCGCUUUUCUCGACUGUAAGGUGGUCGACGAAUAAGAGCUGGGCAAGACCGGUGCCAGCCGCCGCGGUAAUACCGGCA